ensembl:lncRNA
AAAGAAAGAAAGACUAUGGGAUGGUUGAAGGGCAAAUCCCAUUUGUUUUAGAUCCCAAAAGAUCCAAACAGCCUGGGGCCUGGAUGAGGGAUUUCACUGGGUUGCUCUGAGCCCCGAGGUCCCCAUGGGACUGGGGAGGGGCCUCUCCUGUUGUCACCUGGGGCCUCCAUUCCCAUAUCUACCACACAGAUCUGUUUUGAACACUCUUGGUUUCAGUUGGAUGGAGAUUUCUGUUGCUGCAAAGGAAACACUUGAGAAUCUCCAACUGGGCUCAAGUCAGGAUCUGAUAUUGAAGGAAAUGAGUUCCUGGGCAGAACCGCUGGCCUAAGGGCCCUGAGAGGCUCAGAGACCCAGGAACUGGAUCAGUCUGUGUCCCAGGCAUUCACUGUCUCCCAGGUGGUCUCAGCUGACUGCGGGGGCCAUGGCGACCCAUUGCCGGCUGCCAGGUCCACCUCCCCCUCGUGGUGCUUGGAUAGAGAGCAGCCUACCCACCUGGAUACUUGUCCCCAGGUGUCUUUGAGACGCUUAAUGGCAGGGCUCUGCAGAGCAGAAAGGAUCAUGUGGAACGAUGAGAAAUUUCUGAGGCCUAGGCACCCCUGGGGAAGGGAAGAGAUUGAGCUGUGAGUGGGGGCUGGAGCUCUCCAGCUCUGGAUUCUGUCCCCUCAUGGACUUCUCCUGUCCUGGAUGAGACAGAUGCCCAGGAAACCCAGGGAGGGCACACCUGGGACCUGAGGAGUAACACUGCCAGGCACAAGGAUUUUUAGCUGAACACAAGGAAGGAGCACAGGAAAGAAGUGAGCUUGCCACCACCAGGACUUCAAGUCAAGGUCAGUGUGGCCCUGGCAGGAGUGUCUAGGACCAGUGCAGGGAUUCAGACCACAGACUUCAAUAUCGACAGCUGAGAAACAAGAGGCAAUUCCCAUGAUUCCAGACAGGGCCUCCAUGGGCCUCCCAUGACUUACCUCGGCCACAUGAAUCCACAGCUCCACCACCCUGGCCCUGUCCUGCGUUGUCAUGCCCAGGGCCCUGAGGCACGUAUCGAUGACACUGUUGGCCAAUGUGUUCCUGUGUGCCACAGUGUCACGGAUGGUGGGUGCCAGGUACUUGUGGUCCCUGCUGCUGUCUCGCUGGGACCAGAUGGAGCCCAGGCAGUGGGCAGGCACCAAAUUCUUGAACAGCUCCUGAGGAAGAUUCAGAGUGUUGCCAACACUGCCUCACCCCAGCCCGGCAUCCAUGGUCCCCCACAGUCCCAGGUGGGUUGAGGACAGAGCGGGAGCUCAGGAAGCAGAGGAUGUGAUCUCUGAGGUGUGUGGGAUUCCCUGGGUUUUGUCUGUGUCCACUGAAGGUGUCAGCACAAGAUGACCCGGGACACAGUGCUGUGCAGAAGGGAGGGCAUUUGCUCCCAGCCCCAUCUCACUUCCUCCAAGCUCCUGGAACACAGCCCUCACCGGCCCACCCCAAGGGACAUCUUCCACCCAUCGCAGUCCCCCUCGGGUCCCACUCCCCAUUCCCAUGCACAUUCCCCCGAGGCAGGGAGAAGCAUCGGCUUUAUGUGAUUGUCUCCGAUGGAGGAGUCAGUACACAUCACAUGCUUGAUGUGUGCUGAGGAUUUGAAGGCCCCCUGGGCACACGCGUGAUAGGCCCAAGGACCUGGCAGCACUUCCGUGAGCUCCCUCCUGCACCAAAGGGCCAGACCCUGCCCAACUUCCUCUCUGUUCCACCUCAUUCAUCGGCACAGCCACCCCGUGCAGCAGGUGCCCUUAGUGUCUGGCUCUGCUGUGCACGUGGGGACAGCGAGCGCUUGGGGUUAAGAAAGUGCCCAAGUCACAGUGUUGGUAAGGGGCAGGGGCAGGAAUGUGGACCCAGAUCAUCAUAUUUUGGAUCAGGGAAUGGCAGGUGUGGGGCAGCUCAUGGCACAGGAAGGCAGGGCCCCCCUUCCCUGCAAGCCCCGCUGCUCACCGCCUCCAUGCUUGUCAGCUGCUCUGCCACCAGCCGGGGAGGGAAGUCCAAGAUAUUUGACUUCUCCUCCCUCAGCUGGUUUUCGGUGGUCACAGCCCAGGGUCCAGUGGACUCUAGUUCAGGAGCUGGCACUGGGGCUGAAGUUAAUGGUGCCCCUUCCUCCAGCCCUGUAGGGUCCGAUGCAGGUGAUGCUGGCUCCAGCUCUGCCAUGGGUGGUGGGGCUGGAGCUGAAGAUGGCUCUAGCCCAGGGGCUGGUUCUGGCUCUGGCUCUGGCUCUGGAUGUGGCAGGAGCUUUGGAGCUGGCUCUGCAGCAGGAUAAGGAGAAAGUUUCACCCACACACCUGACAGUUUCUGUGCCUUUCCAAAGACAGGAAGGACUCCACUGCCUUUAAGGGAACUCUAGCCCAUGAACCUCAACACAGACAGUCUUCCCAGACUCCAGUCCCCUCACCUUUCUGUUUAGCCUCAAUGGCCUUGAGGUGCUCCAGGUGGCCUGGCAGAAGGUAGGCAUGGCCCUCCACAUGUGAGCCAUCAAAGCUGACGUGCAGAGUGGCCAGCUGCAGGGUCCAGCAUGGAAACCGCAGGGGCUCCCUGCAAUCCUGCCCUUGGCCCAGCCAGGUUCCCAGCAGGAAAUAGCACUGCGGGGAGGCAGAUGGGCCAGAGAGUCAGUGGCCCGGCCUUUCCUUAAACACUGCCCGCCCAAGGCACUCUUGUUAGCAUCUGGGCCCCUGUGCCAUCCCCUCCCCCUCCAGAGGAGGGGCCCCAUCCCAGCCCUGAGCCCCCGGCUGGCUGACCUGGCAGUGGCAGGCCUGCUCACCUAGCAGGCUGAACACAGAGUCUGUGAGAGUCUCUUGUUCCCACCGACACUCUCCUCCCCAAGGGUCUGGACACAGCCCACCCAAGCCCUCCAUGUAUGUGAGUCACUGGAAUGAAGACUCCAGCAGAUCUGUGAGCAGCUUGCUCACGCACCUCCUACUAUGGACCUGCUGGUGGCGCUCACAAGUGGUGGAUGUGGAGAAAGGGAGGCAGAAGGAGCUGGGACUCUGCUGGGAUUGGGUCUCUAGGAGGCAACUCAGCCCAGCCUCCCUUCCUGUUCUCAGGGGGCCUGGGACCCAUGCAUAGCUCUCUUUGAGUCCAGCCCUGCUGGAGUGGAAGCCACCAGAACUCAGCCCUCCCAUGGGAAUCACAAGAUGGGUGAGAUGCAGGGUUCUCCCAGGCCUGACCCGGCCACAGCCUCC